CCCCUCUCAGGGGCGAACCUGAAGAGUUUCCAGUACUCUACCAGAUUCAACUAUGGGAGGGAGAGUUAAGCAGAGGCCUGUCCAUUCCAUUCCUAGCUUGGGCAGUGGCUAGCGAGUGGAAGCCAAUCUGUGUCAAGU